GGGAUCACACAAGCAGUGGAGCAUGUUGUUUAAUUCGAAGCAACGCGAAGAACCUUACCAGGCCUUGACAUGUACGGAUUAGCUGCGUGAAAGCGCAGUGACGGCUCUUCGGAGUUGGAACGUACACAGGUGUUGCAUGGCUGUCGUCAGCUCGUGUCGUGAGAUGUUCGGUUAAGUCCGGCAACGAGCGCAACCCACAUCCCUAGUUGCCAGCAGUUCGGCUGGGCACUCUAUGGAAACUGCCCGUGAUAAGCGGGAGGAAGGUGUGGAUGACGUCAAGUCCUCAUGGCCCUUACGGGUUGGGCUACACACGUGCUACAAUGGUAGUGACAAUGGGUUAAUCCCAAAAAGCUAUCUCAGUUCGGAUUGUCGUCUGCAACUCGACGGCAUG
rnacentral:rRNA from 1 species